AGGACGAACGCUGGCGGCGUGCCUAACACAUGCAAGUGGAGCGACGAACCAGGCUUCGGCCUGGGGCAAAGCCGCGAACGGGUGAGUAACACGUGGGUAACCUGCCCCGAUGACCGGGACAACCCGAGGAAACUCGGGCUAAUACCGGAUGUGUCCUCCGGCCAUAAGGCCGCUGGGGAAAGGAAGCUUCGGCCUCCGCAUCGGGAUGGGCCCGCGGCCCAUUAGCUUGUUGGUGAGGUAACGGCUCACCAAGGCGACGAUGGGUAGCUGGUCUGAGAGGACGAUCAGCCACACUGGGACUGAGACACGGCCCAGACUCCUACGGGAGGCAGCAGUGGGGAAUCUUGCGCAAUGCGCGAAAGCGUGACGCAGCAACGCCGCGUGGGGAAGACGGCCUUCGGGUUGUAACCCCUUUCAGUUGGGACGAAGCUUCGUCGGUGAAUAGCCGACUGGAGUGACGGUACCUUCAGAAGAAGCCCGGCUAACUACGCGCCAGCAGCCGCGGU
rnacentral:rRNA from 1 species